CACAAAUAGGAAUGAAAUGAAGCCACAAGUUCAAUAUCCAGCUUCUUGCCUCAAACUACUGCCAUGAAGGUAAUACGAUUAUAGAAUUGAAGGUCUGCAUCGCCUGCCAGAAAUGCAAGACUCAGAUACUGAAAGCAGUUGCAAAACUUGAAGGUCUUGCAGAAGUAUCUGUGGAUGAGCAAAAGGGGAUACUGAAGGUGGUUGGGGACGUUGAUCCAAUUCAAGUGGCAAAGCAAGUGAGGAAGACUUGGAAGACCGCAGUUUUCGGCAGUGUUAGCGAACCAAAGCCAAAGCCAAAGCCGGAUCCGGAGCCUCCGAAGACGGAGCCUCCAAAGCCUCCUCCAGCUCCUCUGCCUCCUUGUUGCAGUGCCUGCUGCCGCCUUGUCGAGGUGCGCUAUGAGCCUUAUGGUGUCCCCAACUGCUCCAUUAUGUGAGAGAAAGGCCAUGCAACUGCUAGCAGGAUCUGUUGAUUCGGCCAAGAGAUUCCAUGCUAGAUCUUCUGCAAACAGUUUAUCAUCAUUCUGUAGAGCUAAAUAAGAUGGAACCUAGCUGCUUGUGAGUUCAGUUGAGAUGUCUGCAGGCUUCAAAAGUUGACCUACGACCUGGGGUUUCACUAAAUUGCAGCAUAAUAUUCAUCAUUUUGAAGAUUACCCUAUACAUUAUCAUCUGUCUUUAAACAUCUCAAAUAAAUUAUGAAAAUCUCC